GAAGUGCAAGCCGGUUAAUAUUAGGCCGGUUUUUUCUUAUACCCAGCCACUGAUUAAUCACUGGACUAAGCCAAUGGUGCUGCGGUUUAAUUUAAUCUGUUGAAUUUAUUCUUACUGUUGUUCAAACGAAUCGAAUGUGAAGCUGGUGUAAAGGUGAUUCAAAAUGGCGAAAAUUGAAACAGCAGCUUGUGAUUUUAAGGAAAAUUUUGUCGCUAUUAAAAGCGGAACCGGCGGACCAUAACCAGCAGUAAAAGGAAGGAAAACGUUCCAACACUUACUAUGAAGUUAACAAAAAGUGAGGCUAAUCUAAUUCGAAGUGAGUGCGGAUCAUACAGAUAGGGAACUGUUUGAUGGUGAAAUUCCGACAAAUUUCGAAUUCAAAACCUUGAAGUGCAAAUCAAUUAGCACAAGUGAUUGUAUAUUUGGAAUGGAAGUUUGGAUUGAUCAAUUGAACCGCAAACAGGAUAGACAUCAUUCCCAGUAACAGAUAUCCAGAGAAACAAAUGUUUAGACUACAUUAUGACCACAUUUCGUUUCUAUACUGCGUAAGGAUCGAUUUUUACGAGUAAUCGACAAUUGGCUUCAUUAGCAGUACAGUGAAAUUGAAAGUACGCUAUCACGACGUGUCUCUUCGAG